CCUACGGGAGGCAGCAGUGGGGAAUAUUGGACAAUGGGCGAAAGCCUGAUCCAGCAAUGCCGCGUGAGUGAUGAAGGCCUUAGGGUUGUAAAGCUCUUUUACCAGGGAUGAUAAUGACAGUACCUGGAGAAUAAGCUCCGGCUAACUCCGUGCCAGCAGCCGCGGUAAUACGGAGGGAGCUAGCGUUGUUCGGAAUUACUGGGCGUAAAGCGUACGUAGGCGGUUAUUCAAGUCAGAGGUGAAAGCCUGGAGCUCAACUCCAGAACUGCCUUUGAAACUAGAUAGCUAGAAUCUUGGAGAGGUGAGUGGAAUUCCGAGUGUAGAGGUGAAAUUCGUAGAUAUUCGGAAGAACACCAGUGGCGAAGGCGACUCACUGGACAAGUAUUGACGCUGAGGUACGAAAGCGUGGGGAGCAAACAGGAUUAGAUACCCUGGUAGUCCACGCCGUAAACGAUGAUAACUAGCUGUUCGGGCUCUACGAGCUUGAGUGGCGCAGCUACGACAUUAAGUUAUCCGUCCGUCGGGAGGUACGGUCGCGAAGAAUUAAAACUAACAAAUAGAAUUAGACGGCGUGAGACGUAGCCGAACGGACGACCGACGAAGGGGAAGGUUAAGG
rnacentral:rRNA from 1 species